AACAACUAGGAAUGUCCAUGGAUAUGGAUAUCCGAAAUUUUCUUCAAACCGAACUCGAAUGAAAUGGAUAUAUUCGAUGCUAAAUGAAUAUGAAUAUUAAAAAUAGAAAUUUGACGGAUAUAAAUUCGGAUAUGAAUUUUGACUGUACCCGACCCGAACCCGAACCCGACCCAAACCGGAAUUUAUUUGUAUUAUAUAAUAUAUAUAUAUAUAAAAAUUUGAUGUUAUAUUUAAUUUGUAUUUUAAAAAUUUAGAUUUAAUAUAAUAUAUUUUGAAAUAUUGAAAAAAGAAAUAAUUGUUUCGGGUUUAAAUUUUUGGGUACAGGUUCGGUUCAGGUUUCGAAUUUUUGAUCGGGUUCGGAUUUGAAUAUCGAUUUUUAAAAUCCGUCGGGUUCGGAUUCGAGUUUGAGUCUCAGUUUUAGAAUCGGGUUCGGAUUCGGGUUUUUGAAAAUCCGCCUUGAAUCCGACCCGUUGAUAUAUCUACACACAACACUAAUUUCAAAACCUUAAAAUUUAAUUACGAGCCUCCUACAACCUUCUAAAAAUUUAUAUCUUUAAUUUUUUUUUUUACAUGUAAAUUUCGAGUUUUCUACCAUCUGCACUAAGGAAACAACC
rnacentral:lncRNA from 1 species